rfam:Triticum aestivum genome assembly, contig: Triticum_aestivum_CS42_TGACv1_scaffold_030269_1BL
UUAUUACUCCCUCCGUCCCAAAUUAAUUGACGCUCAAACAGAUGUAUCUAGCACUGAAAUAUGUCUAGAUACAUCCGUUUGAGCGUCAAUUAAUAUGGGACGGAGGUAGUAUUUG